GUUUUGUUUGUCCCCUGCAGCAAAGACAUGCGCAUGUGUCUGUGGACCGGUGCGUUGAGAUUCGAUCAGAAGGAUUGGCGUGGCAUGUAAAAUGGGAGUCCCAAGCAUCCGCCCAGGGUCAUCUCAACUGCUUGUGAUGGCAGCGUUGUUUCAGUUGGUUGCUUCCACAGUCGGCAGAAGAAGAGGGAUCCACUGUGGCGUGCACACACACACAUUUUUUGGACUAGAUUCAACUAUGAAGUGCAAGGGAACCCUGAUGAUAAAAUUCCACUUUAUCCUUCUGCAUCUGCCUCAUCUGCAGAUGCAC